rnacentral:rRNA from 1 species
GACGAACGCUGGCGGCGUGCUUAACACAUGCAAGUCGAGCGGUAAGGCCCUUUGGGGGUACACGAGCGGCGAACGGGUGAGUAACACGUGGGUGACCUGCCCUCAGCUCUGGGAUAAGCCUGGGAAACUGGGUCUAAUACUGGAUAUGACCUUUCCUCGCAUGGGGUUGGGGUGGAAAGUUUUUCGGCUGGGGAUGGGCCCGCGGCCUAUCAGCUUGUUGGUGGGGUGAUGGCCUACCAAGGCGACGACGGGUAGCCGCCUGAGAGGCGACCGGCCACACUGGGACUGAGACACGGCCCAGACUCCUACGGGAGGCAGCAGUGGGGAAUAUUGCGCAAUGGGCGGAAGCCUGACGCAGCGACGCCGCGUGGGGAUGACG